UAGGGAAUCUUCCGCAAUGGACGAAAGUCUGACGGAGCAACGCCGCGUGAGUGAAGAAGGAUUUCGGUUCGUAAAACUCUGUUGUUAGGGAAGAAAAAAUGUAUAGUUACUAUAUACAAAAGAGACGGUACCUAACCAGAAAGCCACGGCUAACUACGUGCCAGCAGCCGCGGUAAUACGUAGGUGGCAAGCGUUGUCCGGAAUUAUUGGGCGUAAAGCGCGCGCAGGUGGUUUAGAAAGUCUGAUGUGAAAGCCCACGGCUCAACCGUGGAGGGUCAUUGGAAACUAAUAAACUUGAGUGCAGGAGAGAAAAGUGGAAUUCCUAGUGUAGCGGUGAAAUGCGUAGAGAUUAGGAGGAACACCGGUGGCGAAAGCGGCUUUUUGGCCUGCAACUGACACUGAGGCGCGAAAGCGUGGGGAGCAAACAGG
rnacentral:rRNA from 1 species